UCACCGCAGAAGAGUUAAAACCGUUUCUUAACUUUGCUGGCUGCAUGGAACCUUACACUUACACAUUGCACUCUCUCCCUAUUCUCACUAUCUCUCAUCACUAAAAUCUAAUGCAAGAAAACGUUUCUUUGCCAAUGUCAAUGCUCAUUUAAAUCUUUCUUUCUCUUUCACUUUCCUCUAUUCCAUUCUUCUUCUGAAUUACCAUUGUUCUUGUUGUUCUCUCUUUAUUCUCUUCUCUUCUCUCACACCACCCUUCAAGCCAUGGACCCAAACUGGAGCACUCGCCGAACGUUUGAACGUUUUCUUUAUGAUUAUCUAAUCAAAAGAAACAUGCACCAAACUGCUGAGGUUUUCAGAUAUGAGAGUAAUCUUCAGCUUGAUCCCUGUGCUUCUUCAAGUGAUGCAAUGAAUGUACCAAAAGGAUUUUUGGAGGAGUGGUGGUCGCUCAACUAUGAUUUUGACUCCUUUAGAGCAUGGCUGCAAGUCCAAG